UAAGAGGUCCCGCCUGCCCUGUGACUAUAUGUUUAACGGCCGCGGUAUUUUGACCGUGCGAAGGUAGCGCAAUCACUUGUCUCUUAAAUGGAGACCUGUAUGAAUGGCAUAACGAGGGCUUAACUGUCUCCUUUUUCAGGUCAAUGAAAUUGAUUUCCCCGUGCAGAAGCGGGGAUAAGAACAUAAGACGAGAAGACCCUAUGGAGCUUCAGACACUAAAGUGGACCAUCUUGAAACCCUAAACAACAGGGCAUGAGCUUAAUGGACCCUACCCUAAUGUCUUUGGUUGGGGCGACCGCGGAGUAAUAAAAAGCCUCCGCAUGGACUGGGCGUACACUCUCCCACAGCUAAGAGUCACAACUCUAGCCAACAGUAUUUCUGACCUUCAUGAUCCGGCAACGCCGAUUAACGAACCGAGUUACCCUAGGGAUAACAGCGCAAUCCCCUUUUAGAGCCCAUAUCGACAAGGGGGUUUACGACCUCGAUGUUGGAUCAGGACAUCCUAAUGGUGCAGCCGCUAUUAAGGGUUCGUUUGUUCAACG
rnacentral:rRNA from 1 species